CAAGUCUAAGUAUAAGUGAACACAAUGACGAAACUGCGAAUGGCUCGGUAAAACAGCAAUAAUUUCUUCGGUGAUAUUUACUACUCGGAUAACCGUAGUAAUUCUAGAGCUAAUACGUGCUACUCAUCUGGGUUCGCCUGAUGGUGCCCGAUUAGGGUAACAACACCAACACAUGGUGAUUCAUAAUCGUCUUUCGGAUCGUUCUUCGGAACGACACACCGUUCAAAUUUCUGACCUAUCAACUUUCGAUGGUAAGGUAGUGUCUUACCAUGGUGGCAACGGGUAACGGACCGUGGGUGCGGGACUCCGGAGAGGGAGCCUGAGAAACGGCUACCACAUCCAAGGAAGGCAGCAGGCGCGCAAAUUACCCAAUGCAAAUUAUGCGAGGUAGUGACAAGAAAUAUCAAUAGGGGACUCUAUGAGUCUUCUAAUUGGAAUGAGAACAAGCUAAACAGCUUAUCGAGAAUCCAGCAGAGGGCAAGUCUGGUGCCAGCAGCCGCGGUAAUUCCAGCU
rnacentral:rRNA from 1 species